UUAAGCAGUGAUAGUCUCCAUUCUGAAGGGUUAGGAAUUUUACACAAUAUAAUGCAAGUAUGGGAAUGGUCUGCCUUGGAAAAAUAGGAUCUGCCUUAUGUUGAGCUUAGCCAUCCAUAGGUCUGUCUUUGUAAAUCAUUUAUCUCUUUGCUGCCCACUCAGCUAACACUUUUCCAUGCUCUGAUGGUUUGUUUUACAGAAGCCACUACAUCUAAGGAUUUGUGAAAUUUCAAUUCCAUGACCAAGAGGGUGAGUAGCCAAUUUGCCAGGACCCUCCCAGUGCCAUACAAAAUAUAUGUAAGUAAAGAGAAGAAGGGCACAAGGUCAUCAGAGGUUUGAUCUCUUCUUUUCCAUAAAUGAGAUAGAUACCCCUGAUUGAAAGAAAGUCUACCAGUAAAAAAUGUAAAAGCUUUAUUUGGACCCAGCAGGAACUGACUUCCAGUUUUCCACUGAAGGAUUUACAAGGAUGUGUUGACUGGAAGCUCUCUGCAGAAAAUUUGCAUCGGUUCCUGUGUCGAUUCUGAUGCUGUGAAUCCGACACCACCAGUUCGGACCAGUGAAACGGCGUAGCUUGGACUGCGGCUGCCCAAGGAAUUUCCUCUUCUCCUCCUCUAAGUGCUAUCUUGACAGCUGAGACCAGCCAGAGAGUUUUUGCUGACACACCCUGAAUUUGAACAUCUGGAGAGUGUAAGCUCUGCUUUCUUUGUGAAACAUCCUCAGCUCAGGAAUUUACUUCUCCCAGUGGCCUAGCAGAGCCGGCAUCCAUUGACCUUCAGGGCACAAUGUAAGGCCCAUCUGUUUUCUCAAAUUUUUGCCUGAGGGUCUGGCAGGGAGGCUCACGGUUAACUUGUCCUGGGGGAUUGUGUGCAGGAUGAACAGUGGCCAGCCUGGUAUGUAUCUGGUUUUUUAAACAAUGUAUAUGUGUCCAGACUUUUACAGGGAAAUUAAACAAA